rnacentral:rRNA from 1 species
UCGGGAAUUUUGGGCAAUGGGGGAAACCCUGACCCAGCAACGCCGCGUGAAGGAUGAAGUAUUUCGGUAUGUAAACUUCGAAAGAAUAGGAAGAAUAAAUGACGGUACUAUUUAUAAGGUCCGGCUAACUACGUGCCAGCAGCCGCGGUAAUACGUAGGGACCAAGCGUUGUUCGGAUUUACUGGGCGUAAAGGGCGCGUAGGCGGCAUGACAAGUCACUUGUGAAAUCUCUGGGCUUAACCCAGAACGGCCAAGUGAUACUGUCGCGCUAGAGUGCAGAAAGGGCAAUCGGAAUUCUUGGUGUAGCGGUGAAAUGCGUAGAUAUCAAGAGGAACACCUGAGGUGAAGACGGGUUGCUGGGCUGACACUGACGCUGAGGCGCGAAAGCCAGGGGAGCAAACGGGAUUAGAUACCCGAGUAGUCCCUGAGCGGGCUGGCAAGGCGCAU